rnacentral:tRNA from 1 species
AAAUUUAGGUUAUAAUAAACCAAGGACCUUCAAAGCCCUAAAUAGGGUUAUCGCACCCUAAUUUCUG